UCCUGCAUUUGGAAGUGAUCAUGGCCGCCCAGGUCCUGCUCAUUGGUAGUGCAGGCAGAGGAAACAUGGAAAGGGUUGUCCCGUGUUUGGAGGGUCCACGUCUUUACCUUCCAGUUCCGGGAGCUUUUCCACA